rnacentral:tRNA from 1 species
CAGUAAAUAGUUUAUUUAAAAUUUUUGUUUUGGGGACUUAGGAUAUAUUUUAUGUUUUACUGA